rfam:Oryza rufipogon genomic scaffold, chr08
AAAAAGAUAAACUCUGAUUUCCGUAUCCAACGUUUGACCGUCCGUCUUAUUUGAAAAAAUUAUGAAAAAAAAUUAAAAAGACAAGUCACGCAUAAAAUAUUAAUCAUGUUUUAUCAUCUAACAACAAUGAAAAUACAAAUUAUAAAAAAAUUUCAUAUAAGACGGACAGUCAAAGUUGGACACGGAAACUCAGAGUUUGCCUUUUU